CAUUAGGUAACUUAAAGUAAGUCUAGGUCUCUUAAACCAAUAAUAGUAAAUUAACUGCUACUUCUAAUGA
rnacentral:tRNA from 1 species